rnacentral:rRNA from 1 species
UACGGAGGGGGCUAGCGUUAUUCGGAUUUACUGGGCGUAAAGAGCGCGUAGGCGGCGUAUUAAGUUAGAAGUGAAAGCCCUAGGCUUAACCUAGGAAAUGCUUCUAAGACUGAUGUGCUAGAGUGUGAUAGGGGAUAGCGGAAUUCCUAGUGUAGAGGUGAAAUUCUUAGAUAUUAGGAGGAACACCGGUGGCGAAAGCGGCUAUCUGGCUCACAACUGACGCUGAGGCGCGAAAGCGUGGGGAGCAAACAGG